GAUGAACGCUGGCGGCGUGCCUAACACAUGCAAGUCGAACGGCAGGGCCCAAGCUUCCUUGGGUUCUCGAGUGGCGAACGGGUGAGUAACACGUGGGUAAUCUGCCCUGCACUUCGGGAUAAGCCUGGGAAACUGGGUCUAAUAUCGGACAGGAUGAUGGCUUGGAUGCAAUUGUGGAAAGUUUUUUCGGUGUGGGAUGAGCUCGCGUCGUAUCAGCUUGUUGGUGGGGUAAAGGCCUACCAAGGCGACGACGCGUAGCCGGCCUGAGAGGGUGAACAGCCCCACUGGAACUGAGACACGGACUAGGACUCUAAGGGAGGCCGGAGUCGGGAAUAUGGGAGAAUGGGCGAAAGUCUGACAAAGCGAGAACGCGUGAGUGAGGAAGGCCUUCGGGGUGUUGAGCCCUUUUGUGGGGUAAGAAACGCAGCAUGUUAAUAAACCGCUGUUGUGACGGUACCUAAAGAAGAAGCACCGGCUAACUUCGUG
rnacentral:rRNA from 1 species